UUGGCACUAACUUCUUGUAAGGAGUUGUUUCACCAUCACGUGCUAUUGCCGUAGAGCCUUCUUUCCUUUGGCAUCAUCGCUUUCUGGCUCAUCUUGCAGCAGGAAUCUUGGGUCCAUCAGGUGAAACUGCUGGGCAGUUUUAACUUCUCUCUGUGUUAUGUAGUUUGUGUCUAUGUUGUGUAGUUUGUGUCCAUCGUCUUCCGUGUCAUAGGGCUUUGUUAUGUCUCGAUGCUUUAUUGGCAUCAUUCUGGACCGUAUCGGCAGCAGGGGGGUCUCUGCUCGCCUACUUUUCCAGAUCGGGCUUAUUCCAGCAUCUUUACAUUUUUACUUUUUGAGACCAGAGGAAGUACAGGAGACGUUCUCAUCCAUCUUCCUUCUCACUUUUGGUAGUGCCUUCCGUUCAUGUCCUAUUCCCUUGGACUUCUAUACGGAGCGUAUCAGACCCUCCUCACAUGACCACGGUAGUUCUGUAGGUUCUGUCGCCUUAAAGCGUAUCGGGCUGGAGAAUUAAUCUUCUGGAGAGUUAUCUCAAGCCCUCUCGUCGUCUUUGCUUAUAUUCGGCGCAGCACCUUGUCCAUGAGCUAUUUACGGUUGGAGCUGCCCUGCCCCGGCAAGGUCACGGUUAAGAAGAACCGUUUCAAAACUUAAAGGUCCCUGAGGCGGCUUCGGCUCUCUGCCGUCACCGAAGCUACUGGUUUUUUUUCAAGGAGCAGCAGCUGGAAGAUGUGCUGAAGCAUCUUCAUCAGUAGAGUGUUUUGAGGAAGGGCUGCAGUCAGUGUGUAAACUGAAGAGUGUGAGCGUGUGUGACUGUCUGUGUCUGUGAGAGUUUGUCUGUCUGUGUGCUUGUGUCUGCCUGUGAGUGUGUGCGUGGAAUGGUUCUAACGUUGUGUGUGUGAUUUUUGCCUUUCAGUUUUUUCAACACAUUUUUAAAUUUGGAAUUAAAAAAAUCCCAGCCAGGUUGGGGUUUUUUUUUCCCCCACCAGCUGGGAUUUUUUUCCUUCGGUCCCGGCCUGUCUGCGAGGCGACAUUCAUCGCCAAGAUUUGGGCGGGGACCGUGCCGGCGCCAGGGUUUUUCAGGCAGGACAAUUUGGAGGCUCCCGGGAACCACAUUCCCGUGGAGUGCCGAGAGUUAGUGGAGCGCUUGAGAUGAGAGCGAGGGGGGGUUUGUGUGGAAGCUAAAGGAGGUGUGGGUGGUGGAUGAGUCUUACGUUCUCCACAUGUUGCUGUUGUUUUGGGUUUCCUAUAACAAUAAAAGAAAAUGUAAAAAAUG